rnacentral:rRNA from 1 species
GAUGAACGCUGGCGGCGUGCCUAACACAUGCAAGUCGAACGGAGUCCAGCCUUUAAGACCUUCGGGUCAAAGAGGGGAAGACUGAGUGGCGGACGGGUGAGUAACACGUGGGCAACCUGGCUCAUAGAGGGGGAUAACAGAGAGAAAUUUCUGCUAAUACCGCAUAAGCACACACUGCCGCAUGGCAGAGGGGGAAAAGAGAAUCGCUAUGAGAUGGACCCGCGUCUGAUUAGCCAGUUGGCAGGGUAAGAGCCUACCAAAGCGACGAUCAGUAGCCGAUCUGAGAGGAUGAACGGCCACAUUGGGACUGAGACACGGCCCAAACUCCUACGGGAGGCAGCAGUGGGGGAUAUUGCACAAUGGGGGGAACCCUGAUGCAGCGACGCCGCGUGAGUGAAGAAGUAUUUCGGUAUGUAAAGCUCUAUCAGCAGGGAAGAUAAUGACAGUACCUGAAUAAGAAGCCCCGGCUAACUACGUG